AAUAUAAUUAAUGAAGAAGGACUAUCUAUUUGCAAUGAACUUAGAUUGAAACAACAACAAAAAAGAAAACAACUGACAAGCAAAAAGGAACUAGGAUCAUUUUGUGAACAAUUUGGUCUUCAACCCAUCAAACAAAAUAAAAAAUCUAAGAAACAAUUUAAAUCUUACACAACAUGCAAGACCUGUCAAAAGAAGAAGCCAAAAUCAAGUUGGUUCUCACAAACUAAAAAGAAGAAACAAA
rnacentral:lncRNA from 1 species